AACGAGGAAUUCCUAGUAAACGCAAGUCAUCAGCUUGCAUUGAUUACGUCCCUGCCCUUUGUACACACCGCCCGUCGCUCCUACCGAUUGAGUGGUGAGGUGAACCCUUCGGACUGUUCACCCGGGAAGUUGUGUAAACCUUACCACUUAGAGGAAGGAGAAGUCGUAACAAGGUUUCUGUAGGUGAACCUGCAGAAGGAUCAUUA
rnacentral:rRNA from 1 species